rnacentral:rRNA from 1 species
AUGAUGCAGCACCACCACCAGCUGGACCAGUGGCUCGCCGGCGGCGGCGUUGGCGGCGUGCUCCGGCCGACCAAGUCCGCGCCCUGCUCCCCUGUCAAGCCGGCGGCGGUGUCCAUGCUGCGGACGCACUCUGACUCCUUCCACGUCGCCCACAAUGUCCCCGUCGGCGACAUCCCCUACGUCCGCGUCAAGCGCGUCCAGCUUGUGGACAAGGACCCGGAGAAGGCGAUUGCGCUGUUCUGGGGCGCCAUCAACGCCGGCAACCGCGUGGACACCGCGCUCAAAGACAUGGCCAUCAUGAUGAAGCAGCAGAACCGCACCGAGGAGGCCAGCGAGGCCAUCAAGUCGCUCUGCGUCCGCUCCUCCGACCAGGCGCAGGAGUCGCUCGACAAGCUGCAGGCCUCGGUCCCUCCCUCCCUCCUCGGCGGCUCCAGGAACCCUAGAUGGCCAUGGCGUGUGUGCGUUCGGUCAUGUGCAGGCACUGUCCUCCCAUCUCAUCUCCCUUGUGUACUAAUAUGUCGUUUAUGCAGCUGA